rnacentral:lncRNA from 10 species
UACUACACACCCAGGCUGUAGGCUGUGCUUCUAGACUACAAACCUGUACAGUGUGGUACUGAACACUGUAGGCAACUGUAACACAAUGGUGUACCUAAUUCCUCUGCCUAGAAAGUGUGCUGGAAUUACUGCCUGGCUUCUGAUGAAUAGGGCGUAUUGAGAGUGAUGCUUUGUGAGUUCUGAGGCUAGGUCAUAGAAAGGAUUGAACUUAUUCCUGAAUGUUGCUCUUGGAUCACUUGCUUUUUUGGGAACCACCAGCCAUGUCAUGAGGACACUCAAGCAACCCUGCAGAGAAGCACAUGUGUGGAGAGGCACUUCUUGGAAAGGAGGCCAACUUGCCAGAACCAACUAAUUUGUCAUGUGAGUGAGUCAUUUUGGAAGCAGAUCCUCUACCCUCAGUCAGGCCUUCCGAUGAUUUCAGCCCCCAGCCUUUGAGUCUGCCCCAAACACCAUGAGUAGAGACAAGCCCUUCCCACUGUGUCCACCCUGGCUGAAUUCCAGACCGUUAAAAAAACAAGAGAAAAUAAAUUAUUAUUAGUGUUUUGAGUCACU